AACGCAGCGAAGGGCGAUAAGUAAUGUGAAUUGCAGAAUUCAGUGAAUCAUCGAAUCUUUGAACGCACAUUGCGCCCCUGGUAUUCCGGGGGGGCACACCUGUUCGAGCGCCAUUUUCACCAUCGAGCCCUGCUCGGAGAUGGGCCUCGUCCUCGCGGACGGGCCCGAAAACCCGUGGGCGCCAUUGUCCGGCCCUGAGCGUAGCAAGAGAAAUCCCUCGCUCGGUGGACCGUCCAGUGGCCGCCCCGACCAUUUUUACAAGGUUGGCCUCGGAUCAGGUGGGGAUACCCGCUGAACUUAA
rnacentral:rRNA from 1 species